AAUGAAUUGCCUGACAAAAGGGCUACUUUGAUAGAGUAGAUUAUGUAGUUAUAGCUACAUUCAUUA
rnacentral:tRNA from 1 species